CAGCAGCCGCGGUAAUACGGAGGAUCCAAGCGUUGUCCGGAUUUAUUGGGUUUAAAGGGUGCGUAGGCGGACUAAUAAGUCAGAGGUGAAAGUUUGCAGCUUAGCUGUAAAAUUGCCUUUGAAACUGCUAGUCUUGAGUAUAGUUGAGGUGGGCGGAAUGUGUCAUGUAGCGGUGAAAUGCUUAGAUAUGAUACAGAACACCGAUUGCGAAGGCAGCUCACUAAACUAUAACUGACGCUGAGGCACGAAAGCGUGGGGAGCGAACAGGAUUAGAUACCCUGGUAGUCCACGCCCUAAACGUUGAAUACUCGUUGUUAGCGAUAUACUGUUAGCGACUAAGCGAAAGCAUUAAGUAUUCCACCUGGGGAGUACGACCGCAAGGUUGAAACUCAAGGGAAUUGACGGGGGCCCGCACAAGCGGAGGAGUAUGUGGUUUAAUUCGAUGAUACGCGAGGAACCUUACCUGGGCUUGAAAGUUAGUGACCGAUUCCGAAAGGAGUCUUUCCUUCGGGCACAAAACUAGGUGCUGCAUGGCUGUCGUCAGCUCUGCCCUGAGGUGUUGGGUUAAGUCCCCAACGAGCGCAACCCCUAUCUUUAGUUACCAUCAGGUUAUGCUGGGCACACUAGAGAGACUGCCUACGUAAGUAGUGAGGAAGGUGGGGACGACGUCAAGUCAUCAUGGCCCUUACGUCCAGGGCUACACACGUACUACAAUGGCGGGUACAAUGAGUUGCCACUUGGCAACAAGGGGCCAAUCUCAAAAAACCCGCCUCAGUUCGGAUUGGAGUCUGCAACUCGACUCCAUGAAGUUGGAUUCGCUAGUAAUCGCAUAUCAGCAAUGAUGCGGUGAAUACGUUCCCGGGCCUUGUACACACCGCCCGU
rnacentral:rRNA from 1 species